GAGUGGAGGUUAUCCUUGCACCACAUAUGUGUAGGGCCCCAAACAAUAGCCCAUCGAGCCUGUAGUAUUCCAAAUGCUCUUUCAACAUCCUUCAUGUUUGAAGAGUAAAGAUGGUAAAGCGAGCAAAAGGAGCAAUUUUGGGAUUGAAAUAUGAUGUGCAAUCCUGGGAGCAGAAUGUGCUGUGCAGAACAGUCAACUUGACAGAAUAUACUGUACUUCCUCAUAGUGAACCAGAUGUUGAGCCUUAUAUCUUUGGAAAGAUACGGAUGUUAGCUUUUUGUAGAAUUUUACGGUUCGCGAUUCGGACGUGUGUGGAGAGAGUUGUGGCCGUUUUAGUACAGACAGUUCGGGCAGAAUGUGUUCUGCGGGUUUUGCAAAAUAAUCCUUUUGAAGUUCAAUCCUUGGAGUUUAAUUUGUGUCAAUCACAUUUGGGAAGUGUCUACAAAGAUGUGGAGUUAUUUUCUAAGGUCUGAUCCUAUAUUUAGUAGGAUUUUGGAUGCCAACUCAUCAAAGACAAUUGAAGCCAAACUAGGAAAGCAUAGUUACCAAGUCAAAAGAGGAUUUGUUCCUUAUUUAAAGAAGACCAGAAAUUAGGUUCUGGGAUGCUGGAGUUUGAAGGAGAGUCAGAGCCGCUGCCAUCAUCAAGUUCUCGAGCAUCAUCACAAUCUAUAAGUUUUAUUUUAUGUUUUCUAGUUUUUCAAUUAUGUUUUCUUUGAACAUGAGUAACUAAGUUAUUCUCUAGGGCGAGGAUGACGCCCGAGCAUGGAUAGUUAUGAUUUCUAAUGUUAUUUAAUGGAUUCUAAGUUUCUUUUA